AUCACUUGUUAGGGUAAGGGUUUCUUUUCUUUUCUGGUGAAACUAAGAAACCCUUUACUCACUGUGCGCCGCCACCUCUAUUUCUGUUUGCAGAUCUAUCAGUCUCUCAGAUCUGAUGUAGCUAGACACACCAACAAACGCUGCUCUCUCUCACUUGCUUUUUGUUCACGUCCAAGCUCUGUCUAUUCCACCUUGAUCGAUUGGCCACCAAACAUGUCCACGCAGUUUCAGAACAAUCCUUCAAGGUAUCAGGGAUCUGAUACCGUGAAGAAGUUCAUGACAUCUCUGCAUCGAAUGUGAUUUCCUUAAUUAAUAGUGUUACAAGAUCUCUGUCUUAACGGUGACAUGGAUUUAUUGUAACACAUAAUAAAAGAACUACUAUGAUGUUGAUUUAGUCUAGCUUUUGCUUGAUGAUAUCUUGAUAGGUCUGCUUCAGAUUAUAUAUAAGAAGAUAUUUUCAGGAGAGACAAAAUCAUUUUCUAGUGAGACGAAAUCUAAAUCAACAGUAUCUACUUCAUUUGCCUCUUCAUUGGAAUUCAAUCGGUUAAGGCAUUACUCAUAUUAUGUCUAUACUCAAGAUACAGUUUUUCCUUCUUAUGCUCAAAGUGUUCCGGUAUAUCAACAUCAAAGUAGGGGAGUUUUCUAAUUUCUGAUGGCACAUAGAUAAGAAGAAAAAGGUUGUUAGCUGCAGAUCCGGACAGAUGUCUAUCAAAUAACAUAACAUGUGACAUCUCUUAGCAAUUACUGAAAUAAGACUCAUGUAACUAAUUGCUAAUGUACGACUCUGUAUAUAAUUUAGAUACUUUAGAUCUUUUAUUGAUAUUGGGUACGGUCAUAAUGUGAAAUAUGAGAUAUGAUAUGUUUGUAAGAUUUUUUCCAAUUCAAGGAAAUAUCAAGUGAGUUAUAUAGUCCAA